rnacentral:rRNA from 1 species
AGAGCGAACGCUGGCGGCAGGCCUAACACAUGCAAGUCGAGCGCCCCGCAAGGGGAGCGGCAGACGGGAGAGUAACACGUGGGAACGUACCCUUUGGUUCGGAACAACCCAGGGAAACUUGGGCUAAUACCGAAUAAGCCCUUACGGGGAAAGAUUAUCGCCAAAGGAUCGGCCCGCGUCUGAUUAGCUAGUUGGUGAGGUAACGGCUCACCAAGGCGACGAUCAGUAGCUGGUCUGAGAGGAUGAUCAGCCUCACUGGGACUGAGACACGGCCCAGACUCCUACGGGAGGCAGCAGUGGGGAAUAUUGGACAAUGGGCGCAAGCCUGAUCCAGCCAUGCCGCGUGGGUGAUGAAGGCCCUAGGGUUGUAAAGCCCUUUCGGCGGGGAAGAUAAUGACGGUACCCGCAGAAGAAGCCCCGGCUAACUUCGUGCCAGCAGCCGC